ACCAACGUGACUCUAUUACAGUUCAUAUUAUCUUUCUUUAUUUUUUUUAAAAUAAAAAUAUUCUUUUCUAAAGUUCAAAAUUAGGGUUGGGCACAUGUCGGUUUAACCCAACCAAGCAUUUCGACCGACAACCAAAUCACCGCUGAAAAUCAAGAUCAGUUGUUGAAAAAUCUUACGCUAGAGUCGAACUCAACCAAGAUGGUCAGUAAUGGUUAUGUUUCUUUGGUUUGCUCGGUUUUGACAUUGGAGCUCCUACCCUAGUAAGAUUUGACUAUAUCUGGAGUUGUGCAGUGACAAGAUCUUAUUGGUAAUCAAGUCAUGGGAACCAGUUCAUACUGCUUUGGUUCGAUUCGGAUGGAAAUAAUGGAAAAAAUAAAUAAAAAUCAACCGAGUCUAAACCAGCUGGUUCAGUUCGGGUGGCUGGUUUUCUCACUUAGUCUGUCAUGAGCAUAGUCUGAAAUAUCGAGGAUAUUUCAGUUUUUUCGAAUCACGGAUAUUUCGGAAUAUAUCCAUCUACAUAUCGCAUAAAUAUCGACGAUAAAAUCAGAAAAUAUCGAUGUAAAGGAAAAAAAUAAGGAAAAAGAAGAAGAAAAAAAAGGGAAAAAAGGGAUUAAAAAAAAACACAAAGGGGAUUUGAACCCCUCCCAUUUUACUCCUCCA
rnacentral:lncRNA from 1 species